AAGACCUGGAUGCUUCAUACUUUGUAUAUAGAUGCCUCAUGUUACGAAGUUUCCGUCAGUCACAUGUCCAAUGUCCUUGACCUCAUUUUCAUGGUUCAGUGACCACUUGAAAAAAAAGUUCAAAUUUUUUGUAAUGUUGAAUUCUCUCUUAUUAUAAGUAAUAGGAUAACUAUAUUUGAUAUGUGCGUACCUUGCAAGGUUCUCAUGUCUGUCAGACAGUUUUCACUUGACCUCGACCUCAUUUCAUGGAUCAGUGAACAAGGUUAAGUUUUGGUGGUCAAGUCCAUAUCUCAGAUACUAUAAGCAAUAGGGCUAGUAUAUUCAGUGUAUGGAAGGACUGUAAGGUGUACAUGUCCAACUGGCAGGUGUCAUCUGACCUUGACCUCAUUUUCAUGGUUCAGUGGUUAUAGUUAAAUUUUUGUGUUUUGGUCUGUUUUUCUCAUACUAUAUGCAAUAGGUCUACUAUAUUUGUUGUAUGGAACGAUUGUAAGGUGUACAUGUCUAGCGGGCAGAUGUCAUGUGACCUUGACCUCAUUUUCAUGUUCAGUGGUCAAAGUUAAAUUUUGUGUUUUGGUCUGUUUUUCUCAUACUAUAUGCAAUAGGUCUACUAUAUUUGUUGUAUGGAACGAUUGUAAGGUGUACAUGUCUAGCGGGCAGA
rnacentral:lncRNA from 1 species